rnacentral:piRNA from 1 species
UGUGUGAUCUGUGGGAUAUUUUGCUCCCCGC